CCUAAUUCACUGCUCGAAUUAACUGCUUUUAGCAGCACUAAAGAACAGAGCUCUUAGAGAUGUAACAAUGUAGGUAACUUCCGAGCAGGAGAAGGAGAAUAGAGCACAUCCAAACAAGCAGUGAAACAACUUAGUUUUAACAUUAUUUUAAACCAAGAUUUGAUAAGAAUGGAUCAUCAAGCAGCGUACCACAUUCACACAUUCUGGUAAGCAACAGAGGAUCCUACUGCCUGUGUGAUUUAACAUAAACAAGCCAAGACAAACUAACAUGGGCAAACUCACUGAGUUAUAAACCAAUGCAGAUUAAUGUCAGAUUUUAAAAUCAAACAGAACAUGAUACUACAUGGAUCACUGAGAUUCAAUCCAGACAUUAUUGUUAUCCUAGGAAUACAAGAAGAAUUACCAGUACUGAAUUUUAGGAUUUAAAUAGCAUAUUCCCAGUACAGCAGUCUACAGAACUAUUAAUUAACCCCCUGAACUUUACGGCUCAAACAAGGUACAGCGGAAGGAACAUAGAAGGACUAGAUGAACCCUUAAGUCAAUAACUCCAUCACAGUCUUCCUGAUUUCAAAUGUUAAGCAGGAACAAGAAUCGAGUCAAACUUUAAGAUUUUAAUGUCAUAACAGAAGUAGGAAAAAGGAUACGACUCGCGAAUAUACGAACAUUCCUUCGACAUGAGAGCAAUCCAUGAAUAUAGACCAAUGAAUCAUAAUCACAGCACACUAUUAACACGAGCACGGAUCAAUACUUGAAACCUCGGAUUUUUAUGAAUAAUCACAAAACUUCCCUUUUGUUUCCUCAGAAGAAAAAAACAAUCUGAGCUUAGUUUCAUUUCAAAAAUUUCCAGUUACAGAACAUCGGAGAAAAUCGACGUAACUCAACAAACUUUACCAAAAAAUCUCAGCUAGUCACAAAUCGAUAAGAAACUAAAUUCGAACUCACUGAUAACGCUCAAAUGACAACAACAGUGGAGUACAAACUCAGAAAUUCCAUAGCUCAAGAACAGCUGAGAAAACAGAGUUACAUGGGAGAAAAAUAAAAAUCAAACCUGAAGUUGCAACCUUCUUUUAAAAAUUAUAGCUCUAAUAAUGCGCCUUUUGCCUCCGAGUCAUAGCGAGGUUCAGUAGCAAAUCAGUAAGAUGACAGUAGAAAACCAAGCUUGAACUUCAAUUUUUAUCUCUUUGGAACUCAAAUUUGGAUUCCGAAAAAUAAAAAAUGUGUAUGCUUCUCUUAACCUCUUAAAGAACUCUUAAACGAAGGAAAAGAAAUCAGAGAACAGAAACCAGAAGUUAAAGAAAACCCUUCAACUUUUCUCUCCAAAUUUUUUUUACCAGCCUUCCCCUCUCAAAAUCGAAUCCCGUUCCUUUUUGAGAAUGAACCCCUUGAUGAAUGUGGGGCUUGUAUUGAGUGAAAUCAAUCCAACGCCUCACACUCAUCCAACGAAUCGUCUCUAAGACCUUCCAAUCGCGUGCCUUAUCUCAAAAUCGAGCGAGUGCAACGAUGGAGAAUCUUCGGUGUUAGAAAUCAUUAGAAAUGGUGAUGAGGAGAGAAGGAGGAACGUGUGGGUUAAGGAUUUGGGAUACACUCGCCCGAAUUUGGACUGGAUUUGGGGCUUGGUUCGAGUGUCUUCUUGGAGAAGAAGAACACUGCGUUGAUGGGGUGUUAGGGUUCUAGGUGUCGUUCUUUUGUGUGUUAUAGUUGGAGUGGGUCGG
rnacentral:lncRNA from 1 species